rnacentral:rRNA from 1 species
GAGUUAAGGUCCCCAAGUAACAGCUAAGUGUUAAAGAACAAAUAGUGUUUAACGGCAUAGACAGCUGGAAGGUUGGCUUAGAGGCAGCCAUCCUUUAAAGAGUUCGUAACAGAUCACCAGUCAAGUUCUUGAGCCUAGAAAAUGGACGGGACUAAGUUGUUCACCGAUACUUUGGGCCACCGAAAGGUGAUGCGGUAGAGAGGCGUCGUGCGCGGGUGGAAGUGGGGCCGAGAGGUCCUGUGGACCGCGUUCGAAUGAUAAUCAUGGAAAGAGUAGUAGCGUAGAUGGGUGAGAAUCCCAUCCGCCGGAGGGGCUAGGGUUCCUCGACGAUGUUCAUCAGUCGAGGGUUAGUCGGUCCUAAGGUUCCCCCUAACAGGAGGAAUCGAAAGGGAAGCAGGUUAAAAUUCCUGCACCAAUUCAUAUUUUGUCCAGUUCCUGACACAUCGGGUCUUGUGGAGCACUCUUGUCGGAGUGUUGCCUUGAGCGAUAAAUUUGUGGAGUACCGUAAUGGUGAGAAGCAAACUAAGCUUUUGGGAGGCGGAGUAUUUCGCUUCUGCGUUAGCCUGGUGUCCGUGAAAAGGGAGCUGGAGCCGUAUGAGUUGUCCGUACCGAGAUCUGACACAGGUGCCCCUAGGUGAGUAGCCUAAGGCGUCGCGGCAGAAUCCGGGCGAGGGAAUUCGGCAAAUUAGCCCCGUACCUUUGGUAUAAGGGGUGCCAGCUCUGAAGAGAGCUGGUCGCAGUGACUAGGGAGCUCCGACUGUUUAUUAAAAACACAGGUGGCUGCUAGUCCGUAAGGAUGUGUAUAGCCGCUGAAUCCUGCCCAGUGGCAGUAUCUGAAACCAGGUUUCAACCUGACGAAGGACUGCUAAACGGCGGGGGUAACUAUGACCCUCUUAAGGUAGCGUAAUACCUUGUCGCUUAAUUGGCGACUUGCACGAACGGCCUAACGAGAGCUCUACUGUCCCCGCCCGGAGCCCGAUGAAAUUGACUUACUGGCGCACAGUCCAGUACGUCCCAGCCGCAAGCGAAGACCCCGUGGAGCUUUACUGCAACCUGCCGUUGUGGCACGAGUUGUUAUGUGUAGCGUAGACGGGAGACAUUACACAGGUGCGAGCGCUAGCUCGUCGCCGAGUCACCGAUGAAACACCGUCCUUUUCGAUUCGUCCCACUCACCUCUUCGGAGGAACCCCGGUAGGCGGGCAGUUUGGGUGGGGCGCCACUCCCUCGAAAAAAUAACAAGGGAGCCCAAAGGUCAGCUUAGGUAGGUCAGGAAUCUACCGUUAAGUGCAAGGGCAAAAGCUGGCUUGACGUGGUUUGGCAACACAACAAACCACGAUGUGAAAGCAGGGCCUAGCGAACCAACCAGCGCCGUUAGUAGGUGCGGUUGAUAACAGAAAAGUUACCCCGGGGAUAACUGAGUUGUCUGGAGCAAGAGCCCACAUCGACCUCCAGGCUUGCUACUUCGAUGUCGUCUCUUCCUAUCCUGGGUGUGCAGAAGCACCCAAGGGUGGGGUUGUUCGCCCAUUAAAAGGGAUCGUGAGAUGGGUUUAGACCGUCGUGAGACAGGUUUGUUGCUAUGUGCUGGGACUGUCCAAUGCCUGAGGGGAAGGAUCCUCUAGUACGAGAGGAACGAGGGUUCGCAGCCACUAGUUUACCAGUUGUCUGACAAGGCACCGCUGGGCAGCCACGCUGUAAGGGAUAAGAGCUGAAAGCAUCUAAGCUCGAAACCCGCCUCAAAACGAGGCAUUUUGACACUUAUAGAAGAUAAGAUUGAUAGGACCGGGGUGUAAGCACCGAGAGCUAUGGUGUUGUUUGAAGUAUUACUUCGGUAAUGCGGAUAAUAACAUUUC